rnacentral:lncRNA from 1 species
GGGUACCCCAUGGGUCCCCACCGACAAGGAUACUGACCGGUCCUGACAAGUGGGCCCACCCGACCAGAACGUGCGGGCUAAGGACAUGAAGAUACUUGGAGCACAAGUCAAGGAGGCCGGGCGAUUCAAAUCAGCCUGGAUAUUGCGGGAUACUUGUUGUAAUCCGACUUAGAUUGCUUUCCAUGUAACAACCGACUAGAUUAGAUUCAAACUGACUUGUAACCCUAGGUCGUCAGCCUAUAUAAGGCGGCCAAGGGCGCCUCCUGAGCGCAUCUCAUCAAACUAUUCCACGCACCAGCGCAAAGCAAUACAAUCCACCAAAAUACAGGACAUAGGGUAUUACUCUCUAGAGGCUCGAACCUAUCUAAACCCUCAUGUUCUCAUGAUCACCUUCGAGUUCUUUGUCUCACAAUCCUC